rnacentral:rRNA from 1 species
UCGCCUGUUUAUCAAAAACAUUGCCUUUAGUAGCCCAACAUUAAAGGUAACUCUGCCCAGUGAAAGUUUUCAACGGCCGCGGUAUCCUGACCGUGCGAAGGUAGCACAAUAAUGAGCCUCCUAAUUAGAGGAUGGAAUGAAUGAAUCAACGAAAAAGAUACUGUCUCAUGAUUACAAAUUGAAAUUUAUUUAUGGGUGAAAAAGCCCAUAUAUUAAUUAAAGACAAGAAGACCCUAUAAGCUUUUUAAAAUUUAACAACCCCAUCUAAAAUUUUAUUUGGUUGGGGCGACCAAAAGAAUAAAACACUUAUCAUAAACAUAGAGACAUAUCUCUCAUAUAAUUAGCCAUAAACAUAUAAGCAAGUUACUGUAGGGAUAACAGGCUAAUAUUUCCCAAGAGUACGCAUCAACAGAAAUGAUUGGCACCUCGAUGUUGGCUUAGGGUAUCUACUUCAUGCAGAAGUGAAGUAAGAAGGUUUGUUCAACCAUUAAUCCCCUACAUGAUCUG